GGAACACCUCCGUUCAAAUACCACUCCUCGCUCUUAUCAGUCAAAACAUAAGCUCCAUGAAGAAAAAAGACUCUCUUCUCCCUUGCUGUUCUAAACAUCAGUUACAUAAGUUGUGCAAUCAUUCUUGCCAUUAUAAGCCCUGAAGAGAAUCACUGUUUGACUCAAAAAUGAGAAGAGUGGUAGAAAAAGGAAGAGUGUGAUUUGAUCAUGGAUAAACACUG
rnacentral:lncRNA from 1 species